rnacentral:rRNA from 1 species
GACGAACGCUGGCGGCGUGCUUAACACAUGCAAGUCGAGCGGUAAGGCCCUUUCGGGGGUACGACGAGCGGCGAACGGGUAGAGUAACACGUGGGUGGACCUCGCCCUCCAGCUCUGGGAGUAAGCCCGGGAAACCGUAGGGUCGUAAUACCGGAUAUGACUCCAUGACGCAUGUUGUGGGGUGGAAAGACCUUGUGCGGCUGAGGAUGGGCCCGCGGCCUAUCAGCUUGUUGGUGGGGUGAUGGCCUACCAAGGCGACGACGGGUAGCCGGCCUGAGAGGGCGACCGGCCACACUGGGACUGAGACACGGCCCAGACUCCUACGGGAGGCAGCAGUGGGGAAUCUUGCGCAAUGGGCGAAAGCCUGACGCAGCGACGCCGCGUGAGGGAUGACGGCCUGU